UCUGGGAGAUGAUGUGAACAAAAGGCCGAAUUGUAGCGCCUCCGCCAGGCAGUGUGUUCUGAGAGCGGGGCGCCGUGACCGAAGCGUUUGUCUGAUUCCAGA
ensembl:snoRNA small nucleolar RNA SNORD89